UCCCUUGUGUAAUUAGAAUUCCGGCGGCGACGCUCCAUUACCGACCGCAGAAUCUCUCCAUCACUCGAUCGAACAGAAAUUAGACCUUAUAUGUUCGCCCCUGCUCAUCUCAAUUCCUGGCUCCGCCACUGCCCGGAGAGCAACCCCUGCCACGCUCCCGGCUGACAUCCUCAAUAAGACACGUCACUGCCCGGAGAACAGCCCCUGCGAAGGAUGAAGUUUAAUGCCAAAAAUGGUGCUGCCAGCUUUGAUGCAGUUGAUGUCAGCCAUGGCUCUGGUCUUGUGUAGUCAAUAUUAUCCUAUGAACAAAAAAGGUCUUCUGGAAAAAGUAUGGUGGGCCGUCUCAACCGAGAAGUAAAAUUCUGGGCUUCCUCUGAUAAGGAAGGUUUGUUGUUGCCAACUGACUCUGAGACCUGGAGAUGCACUCAAGCUCUGGUACUUGUGAGUUCUCUGGAACAUAAGCACGAGGAAGCAUUUUCCAAGCAAGUAGCAGUGUUGCCGCAAGCUAGCCUUAUUUUGCUUGUGAAUGCCAAAAAGAAUGCUAUAUAUGCUGUCCAUGUUGAGUAUGG